UCCGGUUGAUCCUGCCAGAGGCCGCUGCUAUCCGGCUGGGACUAAGCCAUGCUAGUCUAGGGGCUCGCACUCCUUCGGGGGUUGCAAGCACCGGCGGACGGCUCAGUAACACGUCGGACAACCUGCCCUCGGGUCGGGGGUAUAACCCCGGGAAACUGGGGCUAAUCCCCCAUAGGUGAUGGGUGCUGGAAUGCCCCAUCUCCGAAAGCGCUUAGCGCCCGAGGAUGGGUCUGCGGCGGAUUAGGUAGUUGGUGGGGUAACGGCCCACCAAGCCUAAGAUCCGUACGGGCUGUGGGAGCAGGAGCCCGGAGAUGGACCCUGAGACAAGGGUCCAGGCCCUACGGGGCGCAGCAGGCGCGAAACCUCCGCAAUGCGGGAAACCGCGACGGGGUUAGCCGGAGUGCCCGUGCAUUGCACGGGCUGUCGGGGUGCCUAAACAGCACCCCAUAGCAAGGGCCGGGCAAGGCCGGUGGCAGCCGCCGCGGUAAGACCGGCGGCCCGAGUGGCGGCCACUCUUAUUGGGCCUAAAGCGUCCGUAGCCGGCCCAGUAAGUCCCCCGGGAAAUCUGGUCGCUUAACGAUCAGACUUCCGGGGGAUACUGCUGGGCUAGGGACCGGGAGAGGCCGAGGGUAUUCCCGGGGUAGGGGUGAAAUCCUGUAAUCCCGGGAGGACCACCUGUGGCGAAGGCGCUCGGCU
rnacentral:rRNA from 1 species